rnacentral:lncRNA from 1 species
AUAAAUGAAAAUUUAAAAAGGUACCCACUCAUUCCCUCCUCUCUCUCACUCUCUCAGAGUUUAUUAAGAUGCUAGUUGUAGUUAGCAUAACUUUUAACAUCUCAUAAGUUUAGUGUGAUUUUUAGCAGCUUCAUUGAGAUUCAAAGAUAAAAAAAAUAAUAUUAAACUGUUAUUGGCUGACACAAAUAAUUGUGUUAGUGUGUUUUAAACGUGUUUAAUUUGUAACCAAUGCACAAGAAUACACGAUUGAGGAAUGGAAUGCUAACAUCAUUUAUAUGUAAACCACUCACAUUUGCAUAAAAAAAUUAAAAAGAAGAAUAAGUCCAGUGAUGCACCAUUUUUAGCCUUUAUUGGGUGGAACAUGCUUCUCUUAAGUCAAAAAAUUGACUGCAACGGUGUUGUUUAAGUAUUUUAAUAAUUUAAAUCGUUAAAUUACGUUGAACGAACACAUAGCACUACUCUUUAUAACUUAAUUAAUGAACGGUUUAUCUAUAUUUAUUUAUCUUGAUAUAAAUUUAUAUUGAUAAACUAUUUAUCUAUAUCUAAUCAACAUAAUUAUUUACAAUAGUAAAAUUCUCAAUAAAAUUUACAAUAUAAACGGUUUGAAUUAUUAAAGAACCAAACUGCUUUUGAAUUGCACUCCGAAAAUGGAAUGCAGAGAUGCCCAGUUGUUAUUUGGUUAUUAAAAGAUUGGUUGAUUAUUAUGUUCGUCUUGUCAAUUAAUGAGCAGCCAUAGCCGCCAAACAGAGUAUCUUCAAAGUUGACAAUAUGACAGAACAGAGACUACACGUUCGAAUCACAACACUUUUCAGAGCACGCAAUCUAAAAAAAGAGAAUUCCAUUCCAGUUCUAAAUUCUCACCAAUUCAAUUGCCAAAGUGAUUUUGUUCAGCACCAACCUUUAAAAAGAGAAACUCUAACCUUCCAAUUUGGACGAAUUCUUUUUCAAUUUUAAAAUAAAAUUAUUUAAAUUCACUUAAUUACGUGAUAUAAAACAUUUUGAAUUUGAAGAUAAUAGCAUUUUUGUUUAAAAAGACCAUUUUAGUUGUUGCUUAUUUAUUGCAGUUCUAUUUUUUUUUUUUUUUUUUUUUGUCGUGGACGUUGUGGCAAAGAAAUUUAAGCAUAACUUAUUUUUGUUUAUGAGAUAAAAGCAAUUAAAAAAUAAGGGAAAAAAAUGCUCCGUAUGUUGUUUGUUGUUUUAAAUAUUAAAGGGAGUAAAUAUUUUUUUCCGUAAAAUUUUGUGAAGCCAAACUUAUGGUUGAAAAAAAGAAUCUUUAAAACUAAAGCGAUAAAUAUUUUAAAAAGUCUCUUUUUGGCAUAUUGACAAAUAGUGAAAUCCGUACAAACAUGUUAAAACCCCCUAGUCCCGCGCCGUAGGACAACGUUGUGAUUUAUUCAUAUAUCGAACACAUCCUUAAGACAAUUAACUCAGUAUAUAUUUUUGAACUGUGACAUAACUUUCAAACAAUAUUAAGCAUACUCGAUCUCACUUAUCGAGUCAACUGAAGUGUACUGGCAUAUAUACACUACAUUUGAUAUUUAUCUAGUAACUUUACUUCUACAUACUACUUCAAGUAUAUGUUGCAAUUUCUAAGUCCCUUCUUAAACAAAUAUCAUAAUUUUUUAAAAACAAGAAAAGGUGCAAGCAUCAACCACUCCCAUCGGUUGGACAAUACAUUUUGAUAUAUGCCCAGUAAGUAUGUGUUUUUUAGGCCGAAACGGUACCCCAGCUCAUUUGUUAGCUGCUUGAUUGUUUUGCACGUAGGUGUUGGUGUUACAAAACAAAUUAGCACAUUUAAAAACAAGAAAAGGGCAAGCAUCAAGAAUCACCUCAAUGCACUCCAACGAGAACCUAAGAAGAGAAAGUUAUGGCACAAGAUGUCUUUAUUGUGCUUUCAGCAAUGGUUUGUGUUGGCAAGAAUGUGAGUGUUCCCAUCGGCAAUGUUUUUGUUUUUCAAAAUUAUAAAAGCGUCUUCUUCAUUUUUUUUUUUAACUUUAUAUAUGGUACUGUUAGGCCAAGUGCGUGUGGGUCUAACCUUUCUAAUGUGACAGAAGAUUCUAGUAAGGUCGGCAACCAGCGGGGAGCAGAACUUAGCUUUGAUUUGUUCUUUAUUAAAAUUUUUAACGAGUUUGAGAUUGAGAUUAGGAUUAGGAUUCUUCGAGAAUGAGAUUAGAUAGUUUGUUGCGAAUUGAAAUUAUUCCGUGACUUUAAAAGUUAAUAAAUUAUACAUUCAUACUUUUCAACAAGUAAGAUUAUUAAUAAAAAAAUAUUAUUUAUUGCAAAAAUAUUCUUAUUUUUUUUAUAAAUUAUGAAUUAUUUAAGUCCUAAACCGCGAAAUAUAAAGACUUUCACUAUUUAUAAAUUCAGUAGUAAUAUUUUUUUAUCCCUAAUUUUUUUUUACCUUAUUUGGGUCGAGUUUUGAUAAACUCAAGCUCGGCUCGUUUAAUACUGAGGCUAAAACUCGUUAAUUUUCUAAACGAGUCAAGCCCGAGCCCGAGCCCGAGCUUGCUCCCAAAUGAUUCGAUUUGUUUGCUGUCCUAUAUACUACUCCCUCCAUCCAAUGUUACUGGUUCAUUACUCUAUUUUGGAAUGUCCUAAAAUGUAUUUUUCAAUUCAAAAAGUCAACAAAAAAAUUAUAUAAUUUUUUUCUUUUAUCCUUUCUUUUCUAUAUUAUUUAACUAAUAUUUCAACCAAUAUAAAACUCAAAUGUAAUGAUUAUAAGGGUAGAUUUGACAAGCAAAUAAAAAUUAAAUAUAAUGAUUGUUUCUCUUUACAAAAUUAGAUUCCCAAAAGGACGAACAAUAAGGGAUGAGGGAAUAGCAUAAUAGAAAUAAUUCAACAAAUGGUCCUGGCAAAUAAUGUGGUCAUGUAUAUUUAUACUUUUUUAUUUAUUGCAAUACAAUUUCAAAAAUAUUUAUAUAUUUUUUACUUGUACAAAUAUGUUUUUUGCCCAUUAACCAUCAACCCCCCAAAAAUUAGAAUCAAUGGGAAUGACACUGUGUAUCAUGGAGUUCGAGAGAAAUAGUAGACAUAAAACCUUGCUGCCACUAUUUUAGGAAAUACGUACUGACUCGUCUUACCAUUCUUUUUGUCUUAUAAGUUGUGUUAAAGUAUUUGUCAUAACUUCUAUUUAUUAGUCAAAAAUAAUUUAAGAAAUUGAAACAAUUAGUUAUUGAGAAGUUACAUAUACUGUUGCUUUUUAACUUCUGCUUUUUGAGAAAUCAAUAUUUAAUAUAAGUUUAGAUAUAACAAACACGACGAUGCAAGAUGAUUUUGUAUUGUUGAAAACAAUACUAGUUAUUGCUGUCAUCCAUUCCAACACAUAUAGAGGGACCAAGAUGGUUUUGUAUUCUAAAAGCAAACUGCAAGCUGUGCAGCAAUUCAUACAAUCCUAAUUCAGAAUUCUUCCAAAAUCUUAACUCAACGGUUCAAAAAUAAGGGACCAAUCCUAAGAAUCAUAUACCCCCACCACUUCACGUUGUUUGUUUUCAAAACUUGUUCAUUAUCGUCAAUUAACCCUAUAAAAAGCCUUCCCACCAACUCUCAAAAUUCAACACAAACUUAGCUUCAAACAAAACAUAACAGUUUGUGUUCGAAAAAAAGCGUAUCUCAAGAGUUUUCGGUUUCCUUCAAGAAGCGGCAAGAGGAUGCCAGAUGGCUGGUGAGCCGAACUCUUCGGCCACGCAAAAAUCCUUUGGCCGAAACGUUCACGAGAUAUCCUCAAUGAGAACUGCCCAGGUUUCUUGCGUUCCAUCCCGACCAAAUGGACGGCUCAUUUCGAAGCCUCCAAAGCAACUGACAAGCUGGUAAUCUCUCAAACGAUAAUAACAUGCCUUCGAAUUCUCUCUCAUUUAGUGUUUACUCGAAAGCUAAACUGACCUUUUUCGUUUCUAUUGAAGAUGGUUAUCGACUUCACGGCUUCAUGGUGCGUUCCUUGUCGCUACAUGGAACCGGCCAUCAAUGAGUUUGCUGCCAAAUAUGCGGAUGUCGAGUUCAUCAAGAUAGAUGUGGGAUGAUUUGAUGGGUUCUCUCGUAUUUGUUCUUUGCCCCUCCAAGUAUGGGGUUCUUAAUUCCCAUAAUCAAGCCGAUACUAAAAUGUGUGUGUGUGAAUAAUUGGGAUACAGGGCCGUGGCUCAGGAUAUUGAGUGGUGCAGGCACUGCCGACAUUUGUGCUGGAUAAGAAAGGGGGCGUGGAUAAGGUUAGCAGGUCAGAAAGGAAGAGCUUCAGGAGAAGAUUGAGAAACACAGGGCGAACUAUUAUUAUGCGUAAAUGCAUCGCAUUUAUUAUUAACUUAGUUGUAUGACCUAAAACCAGCUUGACUGCUUACAGAAAAUAAAAGGAAUUAUGAGGGGUCUUCUGUCCUCCACUGGGUAUAGAGAGAUUAGUGAACAUGUCAAAGUUUGCAUUCUCCUUUCAUAGAUUAAUGUCUACCAACUUCAAAAAAAUUGUUUCUCGCCCCAAGAGAAGACCCAGCUCCAGUUUUUUAUUUUAUGAAUUUUCAUUUGUUUCUCUUUGAUUUGCU